AUUGAACGCUGGCGGCAUGCCUUACACAUGCAAGUCGAACGGCAGCGGGGGAGAAGCUUGCUUUUCCUGCCGGCGAGUGGCGAACGGGUGAGUAAUACAUCGGAACGUGCCCUGUAGUGGGGGAUAACUAGUCGAAAGAUUAGCUAAUACCGCAUACGACCUGAGGGUGAAAGUGGGGGACCGCAAGGCCUCAUGCUAUAGGAGCGGCCGAUGUCUGAUUAGCUAGUUGGUGGGGUAAAGGCCUACCAAGGCGACGAUCAGUAGCUGGUCUGAGAGGACGAUCAGCCACACUGGGACUGAGACACGGCCCAGACUCCUACGGGAGGCAGCAGUGGGGAAUUUUGGACAAUGGGCGAAAGCCUAAUCCAGCAAUGCCGCGUGUGUGAAGAAGGCCUUCGGGUUGUAAGGCACUUUUGUCCGGAAAGAAAUGGCUCUGGUUAAUACCUGGGGUCGAUGACGGUACCGGAAGAAUAAGGACCGGCUAACUACGUGCCAGCAGCCGCCGUAA
rnacentral:rRNA from 1 species